rnacentral:rRNA from 1 species
UCGAGAAUUUUUCACAAUGGGGGCAACCCUGAUGGAGCGACGCCGCGUGGAGGAUGAAGGUCUUCGGAUUGUAAACUCCUGUCAUUGGUGAACAAGAUGGGCGGGGUAACUCCUUGCCUGUUUGCUAGUAGCCGAAGAGGAAGGGACGGCUAACUCUGUGCCAGCAGCCGCGGUAAUACAGAGGUCCCGAGCGUUGUUCGGAUUUAUUGGGCGUAAAGGGUGCGUAGGCGGCGGAGUAAGUUGGGUGUGAAAUCCCGGGGCUCAACCUCGGAAUUGCAUUCAAUACUGCUUCGCUCGAGUACUGGAGAGGAGGCUGGAAUUUACGGUGUAGCAGUGAAAUGCGUAGAUAUCGUAAGGAAGGCCGGUGGCGAAAGCGAGCCUCUGGACAGUUACUGACGCUGAUGCACGAAGGCCAGGGGAGCAAAC